UGGGGAAUAUUGCACAAUGGGCGCAAGCCUGAUGCAGCGACGCCGCGUGAGGGAUGAAGGCCUUCGGGUUGUAAACCUCUUUCAGCAGGGAAGAAGCGCAAGUGACGGUACCUGCAGAAGAAGCGCCGGCUAACUACGUGCCAGCAGCCGCGGUAAUACGUAGGGCGCAAGCGUUGUCCGGAAUUAUUGGGCGUAAAGAGCUCGUAGGCGGUCUGUCGCGUCUGCUGUGAAAACUCGAGGCUCAACCUCGGGCUUGCAGUGGGUACGGGCAGACUAGAGUGCGGUAGGGGAGACUGGAAUUUCCUGGUGUAGCGGUGGAAUGCGCAGAUAUCAGGGAGGAACACCGAUGGCGAAGGCAGGUCUCGUGGGCCGCAACUGACGCUGAGGAGCGAAAGCAUGGGGAGCGAACAGGAUUAGAUACCCUGGUAGUCCAUGCCGUAAACGUUGGGCAC
rnacentral:rRNA from 1 species